ensembl:miRNA
GCCUUUUGGAGGACUUACCUCUCACUGACAGUACUGGUGGUUUUGGUUUCCCUCUUUGGGC